rnacentral:rRNA from 1 species
AUUGAACGCUGGCGGCAUGCCUUACACAUGCAAGUCGAACGGUAACAGGUCUUCUGGUGCUGACGAGUGGCGUACGGGUGAGUAAUACAUCGGAACGUGCCCAGACGUGGGGGAUAACGAGGCGAAAGCUUUGCUAAUACCUCAUACGAUCUAAGGAUGCAAGCAGGGGACCGCAAGGCCUUGCGCGUUUGGAGCGGCCGAUGGCAGAUUAGGUAGGUGGUGGGAUAAAAGCUUACCAAGCCGACGAUCUGUAGCUGGUCUGAGAGGACGACCAGCCACACUGGGACUGAGACACGGCACAGACUCCUACGGGAGGCAGCAGUGGGGAAUUUUGGACGAUGGGCGAAAGCCUGAUCCAGCAAUGCCGCGUGCAGGAUGAAGGCCUUCGGGUUGUAAACUGCUUUUGUACGGAACGAAAAGGCUCUGGCUAAUACCUGGGGCACAUGACGGUACCGUAAGAAUAAGCACCGGCUAACUACGUG